rnacentral:lncRNA from 1 species
AAUCUGUAUGUGAAAGGAACUGAAAUAUUCCCCCUUCUUUUGGUGUUCUACAGCCUGGUCAGUCUGAUUUACCCCUUGGAGCAGUCAGUGGAACGAUUCCUGUUGGCCGGACAGGGAAAUGGCUGAGGCCAGCGGAUGUCUGGGGACAAGGCCGGAUGACCUUACACCCUCUGCUCUGCUGCUUGUCACAAGAGAUGAGAGAAAUGGGAGGGUCAGAAACCUGAGAAAGGGCCUCAUCUUCCCCUCCUCCUCUAGGCAAUUCCUGGAAACUUAACAAGGCAAGCAAAACAGAGCAUCUGCAGG